ensembl:misc_RNA Metazoa_SRP Metazoan signal recognition particle RNA
GCUGGGCAUGGCGGCGCAUGCCUGUAGUCCCAGCUACUUGGGAGGCUGAGGUGGGAGGAUCACUUGAGCCCAGGAGUUCCAGGCUGCAGUGAGCCAUGAUCGCACCACUGCGUUCCAGCCUGGGUGACAGAGCAAGACCCUGUCUCAA